rnacentral:rRNA from 1 species
CAGACCAGGUGAGGGUACCCGCUGAAUUUAAGCAUAUCAGUAAGCGGAGGAAAAGAAACUAACAAGGAUUCCCCUAGUAGCGGCGAGCGAACAGGGAAGAGCCCAACGCCGAAUCUCGAGCGCAUUGCGCGCUCGCGAAAUGUGGCGUACAGGAGGGUCCGUAAACCGGAGCACGCCGUGCCGAGUCCAAGUCCUUCUUGAACGGGGCCACGGUCCGCAGAGGGUGCCAGACCCGUAGCGGCCGACGGCGUCUCCGGUUGGGCCUCUCCUGAGAGUCGGGUUGCUUGAGAGUGCAGCCUAAAGCGGGUGGUAAACUCCAUCUAAGGCUAAAUACGACCACGAGACCGAUAGCGAACAAGUACCGUGAGGGAAAGUUGAAAAGAACUUUGAAGAGAGAGUUCAAUAGUACGUGAAACCGUUCAGGGGUAAACGGGGAAGACUCGAAAUUCCGAAAGGAGAGAUUCACGUAUUCCGCAGGUCUCGCCGAGCCCGUCCGCGGACGGUCCGGCCCGCCCGCCCUGGCUCCGGCCCGGGCGACGCGGGCCGGCCGGCCGGGCUAGCGAGGCGGGGCCGCGGAGGACCGCACUUCUCUCCCAGUAGGACGUCGCGACCCGUUCGGAGGCGAGCCUAGCGCCCGGCACGUGGCCUCGAGUCCGUCGGCGUCCCUCUCGGGGGACCGCCGGCGCUCGAGCCGGCCGUGGCGGGGCAGCGCGCCGGACGGUAGCAACGACGGUGUUGAACCGCUCAUCCGAGCGCCGCCGACCUCGUCCGAGUCGGUCGCCCUGCGCGGCCGCGGGCUCCCCGGGGCCCGCGCCGCGCGGCGACGUGGCUGUCGGGACGAGGCUCUGGGGCCGAGUUCACGACACCCGUCGGCGACGCCGCAGUUUCGAGCUCUUACCCGACCCGUCUUGUAACACGGACCAAGAAGUCCAACGUGUGCGCGAGUCGUUGGGUGCAAAACCCAAUGGCGUAAUCAAGGUGAAGGGAAGUGUCCCUUCCUCAGGGAGGACGGCGGGGGCCGAGCGUCCCCGCCCGCACUCCCGGGGCGUCUCCGGCUCACUGCGAGCGGGUGCGCACCUAGAGCGUUCACGUUGGGACCCGAAAGAUGGUGAACUAUGCCUGGCCAGGACGAAGCCAGGGGAAACCCUGGUGGAGGUCCGUAGCGGUUCUGACGUGCAAAUCGAUCGUCAGAGCUGGGUAUAGGGGCGAAAGACUAAUCGAACCAUCUAGUAGCUGGUUCCCUCUGAAGUUUCCCUCAGGAUAGCUGGCGGCCGCGUUGAGACGAGUCUCAUCCGGUAAAGCGAAUGAUUAGAGGCCUUGGGGUCGAAACGACCUCAACCUAUUCUCAAACUUUAAAUGGAUGAGAACCCCGGCUUGCUUGGCCUCUGCUCUAGUGAAGUCGGGGCUCGGAUCCGGUCGCCAAGUGGGCCAAUUUUGGUAAGCAGAACUGGCGCUGUGGGAUGAACCAAACGCGGAGUUAAGGCGCCUAAACGACGCUCAUCGGACACCAUGAAAGGCGUUGGUUGCUUAAGACAGCAGGACGGUGGCCAUGGAAGUCGGAAUCCGCUAAGGAGUGUGUAACAACUCACCUGCCGAAGCAACUAGCCCUGAAAAUGGAUGGCGCUGAAGCGUCGUGCCUAUACUCCGCCGCCAACGGCAGACGCGGCGCGGUCCUCUCCUCGGGGGGGUCCGUCAGCCGCUAGGCCUUGGUGAGUAAGAGGGCCGCGGCGAUGGCGUAGAAGGGUCUGGGCGCGAGCCUGCCUGGAGCCGUCGCCGGCGCAGAUCUUGGUGGUAGUAGCAAAUACUCCAGCGAGGCCCUGGAGGGCUGAUGUGGAGAAGGGUUUCUUGUGAACAGCCGUUGCACAAGAGUCAGUCGGUCCUAAGCCCUAGGAGAAAUCCGAUGCCGAUGGGCGCCGUUAACUGUUUGACACCGCGCGCUCGCUCCCGUUGUCCGACGUCCCGACGUCGGCGACGCGGGGCGGGCUGCGCGCGUCGUCCGGAUAGCCGGCGCCCCGGUUCGGGCGAAAGGGAAUCCGGUUCCUAUUCCGGAACCUGGCCAGCGGAACCGCCUUCCAGUCGUGCCCUCAGACGAGAGCUCGUCGGGGCAACCCAACAUGGCCCGGUGACGCCGUCGGGAGAUCCAAGGAGAGUUGUCUCUUCUCUAUAAGCGCUGUAGGGCCCUGGAAACCUCUAGCAGGGAGAUAGGGUCCCGAGCGCCAAGAGCACCGCAGUUACGGCGGUGUUUGGAUCUUCCCUUCGGACCUUGAAAAGCCGGGUGAGGGUGACGGGGAAAACCGCGCCAGACCGUACCCAUAUCCGCAGCAGGUCUCCAAGGUCAAAAGCCUCUAGUCGUUAGAAUAAUGUGAGUAAGGGAAGUCGGCAAACUGGAUCCGUAACCUUGGGAUAAGGAUUGGCUCUGAGGAUCGUGGUGAGCCGGGCUUGGUUGGGAAGUGGAGCGGUGUCAACGAUCCGGGCCUGGGCGAGGGGAGUGGGCGUCUCG